rnacentral:rRNA from 1 species
AUGCGUCGUGUCGAAGAGCUCUCGCAGCAUCUGGUGUCCGGCCGGAUCAAACUCCCACAUAUUGAAUGCCCAUCUUUGACACGGGAGGAUCCGACGGACGAGCAUGACCUGAACCACGUUGACAAGCUUGAUUUUCUUGUCCUUCAUACUCUUGAUACAGGUCUCGAGUCCGGUCAGCUCUGCGGGUUCGCCCUAGGACAGGCCCUUCUUUUCCCAGGAAGUGAACCGCAUGGGGAUCCCGGACCAGAAUUUGGGCGCCGCCGCCCAGUUGGUGUCAUGCGGCUCGGUGAUGUAGAACCACAUCGAUUGCCACCCUUUCACGGUCUCCACAAAGGAGCCAUCAAGCCAUGUAAUGUUGGGCAUCCUGCCCACCUUGGCGCCUCCGCACUCCGCCUGCUGGCCGCUAACGAUCUUCGGCUUCACACAGAAGAUUUGCAGCCACAGGCCGAAGUGGGGCGUGAUGCAGAGGAAGGCCUCGCACACGAUGAUAAACGCCGAGAUGUUGAGCACAAAAUUUGGGGAUAG